ACUUAGGGUCAGAUUUAUGUUGCUUCCAUGUACACACAUGUUUGCCAGACAAGCGGACAAGCCAGAGAUAACCCACAGCAGCCGGCACUGGGGAAGGUCCCCCGCACAUCACAUAUAUGUAAGCCGCUUGGAGCGACGUACUGACGGAUCGGCGGCCAUCACGGAGGCAGCCAAGUCAGCCAUCAAUUAUAAUUCGCGGGUAUUCGAUUGCUGCCCAGCGUUGCUUUAUUGAGAGAGAGAGAGAGCCUAACAUCAGUCUCUGAGCGAGAGCUUCUCGAAUAUUUUAUGCAAGAGAGCGGCUGAUCUUUUAGUGUUGAGUAACACCGAUCAAUGGGCUUUCGACAAAGCGUUCUCUAGCGGAAUCCACUGGUCAAGCAGGGCCUUAAAUUUCAAAUCAUG